rnacentral:rRNA from 1 species
CCAGACUCCUACGGGAGGCAGCAGUGAGGAAUAUUGGUCAAUGGGCGCGAGCCUGAACCAGCCAAGUCGCGUGAGGGAUGAAGGAUCUAUGGUUCGUAAACCUCUUUUAUAAGGGAAUAAAGUGCGGGACGCGUCCCGCUUCGCAUGUACCUUAUGAAUAAGGAUCGGCUAACUCCGUGCCAGCAGCCGCGGUAAUACGGAGGAUGCGAGCGUUAUCCGGAUUUAUUGGGUUUAAAGGGUGCGUAGGCGGGCUGUUAAGUCAGCGGUCAAAUGUCGGGGCUCACCCCCGGCCUGCCGUUGAAACUGGCGGCCUCGAGUGGGCGAGAAGUAUGCGGAAUGCGUGGUGUAGCGGUGAAAUGCAUAGAUAUCACGCAGAACUCCGAUUGCGAAGGCAGCAUACCGGCGCCCUACUGACGCUGAGGCACGAAAGCGUGGGUAUCGAACAGGAUUAGAUACCCUCGUA